UGGGGAAUAUUGCACAAUGGGCGCAAGCCUGAUGCAGCCAUGCCGCGUGUGUGAAGAAGGCCUUCGGGUUGUAAAGCACUUUCAGCGAGGAGGAAGGUGGUGAACUUAAUACGUUCAUCAAUUGACGUUACUCGCAGAAGAAGCACCGGCUAACUCCGUGCCAGCAGCCGCGGUAAUACGGAGGGUGCAAGCGUUAAUCGGAAUUACUGGGCGUAAAGCGCACGCAGGCGGUUUGUUAAGUCAGAUGUGAAAUCCCCGGGCUCAACCUGGGAACUGCAUUUGAAACUGGCAAGCUAGAGUCUCGUAGAGGGGGGUAGAAUUCCAGGUGUAGCGGUGAAAUGCGUAGAGAUCUGGAGGAAUACCGGUGGCGAAGGCGGCCCCCUGGACGAAGACUGACGCUCAGGUGCGAAAAGCGUGGGGAGCAAAACAGGAUUAGAUACCCCUGGUAGUCCACGCUGUAAAACGAUGUCGAUUUUGGAGGUUGUGCCCUUGAGGCGUGGCUUCCGGAGCUAACGCGUUAAAUCGACCGCCUGGGGAG
rnacentral:rRNA from 1 species